rnacentral:ncRNA from 1 species
UUAAACCUACCAGGACAAAAGUCGGAAUCCUGUAACUAGGGUAGCAGUAUUGCGGGAAACCAAGAUGCUGAAGCCUACCGACAACAUUGUUGUAAGAAUAAUGAUGAAUUACCAGGCUGUAGCGAAAGCGAACACAUAGGUGACCUCGAAAGUAACGUGAACCCAAAGGCCGAACCAUCGGUGGAAUGGUGAAGGCAACAUAGACAGUUGAAACCCGAAUGAUACAACUGAUCUACUUUGGCGGGGCGGUAGUGAU